UUAAGCGACUAAGCGUACACGGUGGAUGCCCUGGCAGUCAGAGGCGAUGAAGGACGUGCUAAUCUGCGAUAAGCGUCGGUAAGGUGAUAUGAACCGUUAUAACCGGCGAUUUCCGAAUGGGGAAACCCAGUGUGAUUCGUCACACUAUCAUUAACUGAAUCCAUAGGUUAAUGAGGCGAACCGGGGGAACUGAAACAUCUAAGUACCCCGAGGAAAAGAAAUCAACCGAGAUUCCCCCAGUAGCGGCGAGCGAACGGGGAGGAGCCCAGAGCCUGAAUCAGUGUGUGUGUUAGUGGAAGCGUCUGGAAAGGCGCGCGAUACAGGGUGACAGCCCCGUACACAAAAAUGCACAUGCUGUGAGCUCGAUGAGUAGGGCGGGACACGUGGUAUCCUGUCUGAAUAUGGGGGGACCAUCCUCCAAGGCUAAAUACUCCUGACUGACCGAUAGUGAACCAGUACCGUGAGGGAAAGGCGAAAAGAACCCCGGCGAGGGGAGUGAAAAAGAACCUGAAACCGUGUACGUACAAGCAGUGGGAGCCUCUUUUAUGGGGUGACUGCGUACCUUUUGUAUAAUGGGUCAGCGACUUAUAUUCUGUAGCAAGGUUAACCGAAUAGGGGAGCCGAAGGGAAACCGAGUCUUAACUGGGCGUUAAGUUGCAGGGUAUAGACCCGAAACCCGGUGAUCUAGCCAUGGGCAGGUUGAAGGUUGGGUAACACUAACUGGAGGACCGAACCGACUAAUGUUGAAAAAUUAGCGGAUGACUUGUGGCUGGGGGUGAAAGGCCAAUCAAACCGGGAGAUAGCUGGUUCUCCCCGAAAGCUAUUUAGGUAGCGCCUCGUGAAUUCAUCUCCGGGGGUAGAGCACUGUUUCGGCAAGGGGGUCAUCCCGACUUACCAACCCGAUGCAAACUGCGAAUACCGGAGAAUGUUAUCACGGGAGACACACGGCGGGUGCUAACGUCCGUCGUGAAGAGGGAAACAACCCAGACCGCCAGCUAAGGUCCCAAAGUCAUGGUUAAGUGGGAAACGAUGUGGGAAGGCCCAGACAGCCAGGAUGUUGGCUUAGAAGCAGCCAUCAUUUAAAGAAAGCGUAAUAGCUCACUGGUCGAGUCGGCCUGCGCGGAAGAUGUAACGGGGCUAAACCAUGCACCGAAGCUGCGGCAGCGACACUAUGUGUUGUUGGGUAGGGGAGCGUUCUGUAAGCCUGUGAAGGUGUACUGUGAGGUAUGCUGGAGGUAUCAGAAGUGCGAAUGCUGACAUAAGUAACGAUAAAGCGGGUGAAAAGCCCGCUCGCCGGAAGACCAAGGGUUCCUGUCCAACGUUAAUCGGGGCAGGGUGAGUCGACCCCUAAGGCGAGGCCGAAAGGCGUAGUCGAUGGGAAACAGGUUAAUAUUCCUGUACUUGGUGUUACUGCGAAGGGGGGACGGAGAAGGCUAUGUUGGCCGGGCGACGGUUGUCCCGGUUUAAGCGUGUAGGCUGGUUUUCCAGGCAAAUCCGGAAAAUCAAGGCUGAGGCGUGAUGACGAGGCACUACGGUGCUGAAGCAACAAAUGCCCUGCUUCCAGGAAAAGCCUCUAAGCAUCAGGUAACAUCAAAUCGUACCCCAAACCGACACAGGUGGUCAGGUAGAGAAUACCAAGGCGCUUGAGAGAACUCGGGUGAAGGAACUAGGCAAAAUGGUGCCGUAACUUCGGGAGAAGGCACGCUGAUAUGUAGGUGAAGUCCCUCGCGGAUGGAGCUGAAAUCAGUCGAAGAUACCAGCUGGCUGCAACUGUUUAUUAAAAACACAGCACUGUGCAAACACGAAAGUGGACGUAUACGGUGUGACGCCUGCCCGGUGCCGGAAGGUUAAUUGAUGGGGUCAGCGCAAGCGAAGCUCUUGAUCGAAGCCCCGGUAAACGGCGGCCGUAACUAUAACGGUCCUAAGGUAGCGAAAUUCCUUGUCGGGUAAGUUCCGACCUGCACGAAUGGCGUAAUGAUGGCCAGGCUGUCUCCACCCGAGACUCAGUGAAAUUGAACUCGCUGUGAAGAUGCAGUGUACCCGCGGCAAGACGGAAAGACCCCGUGAACCUUUACUAUAGCUUGACACUGAACAUUGAGCCUUGAUGUGUAGGAUAGGUGGGAGGCUUUGAAGUGUGGACGCCAGUCUGCAUGGAGCCGACCUUGAAAUACCACCCUUUAAUGUUUGAUGUUCUAACGUGGACCCGUGAUCCGGGUUGCGGACAGUGUCUGGUGGGUAGUUUGACUGGGGCGGUCUCCUCCUAAAGAGUAACGGAGGAGCACGAAGGUUGGCUAAUCCUGGUCGGACAUCAGGAGGUUAGUGCAAUGGCAUAAGCCAGCUUGACUGCGAGCGUGACGGCGCGAGCAGGUGCGAAAGCAGGUCAUAGUGAUCCGGUGGUUCUGAAUGGAAGGGCCAUCGCUCAACGGAUAAAAGGUACUCCGGGGAUAACAGGCUGAUACCGCCCAAGAGUUCAUAUCGACGGCGGUGUUUGGCACCUCGAUGUCGGCUCAUCACAUCCUGGGGCUGAAGUAGGUCCCAAGGGUAUGGCUGUUCGCCAUUUAAAGUGGUACGCGAGCUGGGUUUAGAACGUCGUGAGACAGUUCGGUCCCUAUCUGCCGUGGGCGCUGGAGAACUGAGGGGGGCUGCUCCUAGUACGAGAGGACCGGAGUGGACGCAUCACUGGUGUUCGGGUUGUCAUGCCAAUGGCACUGCCCGGUAGCUAAAUGCGGAAGAGAUAAGUGCUGAAAGCAUCUAAGCACGAAACUUGCCCCGAGAUGAGUUCUCCCUGACUCCUUGAGAGUCCUGAAGGAACGUUGAAGACGACGACGUUGAUAGGCCGGGUGUGUAAGCGCAGCGAUGCGUUGAGCUAACCGGUACUAAUGAACCGUGAGGCUUAACCU
rnacentral:rRNA from 1 species